CAUUUAGGUUCCCUAGAAACCCCUUGUAAGUUUUCAGUGCAAUAGAAAUGUUAGAUGUGGUCUUGGUAAUUCUCAAAAUGAGUUCACUAGAUGCCUUGAAGUGAUCAUUUUUAUGGUUUAGUUGCUGCUUAUUUGGAUGACUUUCCUGAUGACAACUGAGUUAGGCAAGAAAGAAAACUUUCUUUACCCACUUAUAAACAGAAGACUGUGACAAGAAGGCCAAUUAUUUCCAUCGCUGAAGAAUCUAAAUUUGGCAAAUCUUCUAAAUAACAAUCCUGCAUAGUUUAUUUUAAAAAAUUUAGUCGUAAAAUUUAUCCUUCAAAAAUCUGCAUUUUAAAUAAACCCUGACAGUGAUUUCUCAAGACGGUAAAGAUAUUAGUCUGAGAAUGCCACUCUAACAGACUGCUCUGGGCAUCUUUUCUCUUUGCCUUGGCCAGGCCUCUCAGAAUUGAGUUAGCGUGUGACUCCAUUUGCACAGCGGGACAGAUGAGUACAACUGAAAUAA
rnacentral:lncRNA from 1 species